GUCCACGCCCUAAACGAUGCACGUUUGGUGUGGGUGAUUCAGUUCAUCCGUGCCGGAGCUAACGCGUUAAACGUGCCGCCUGGGGAGUACAGUCGCAAGGCUGAAACUCAAAGGAAUUGACGGGGGCCCGCACAAGCGGUGGAGCAUGUGGUUCAAUUCGACGCAACGCGAAGAACCUUACCUGGGCUCGAACGGCUGGUUAACGGCUGCUGAAAGGCGGCUACCCCGCAAGGGGGUCCAGUCGAGGUGCUGCAUGGCUGUCGU
rnacentral:rRNA from 1 species